CUUUUUAAAUGUGGGAUUUAAAUGAUACCAUGAUCACGGAGGAGGUUUUCCCAGGGUGAAGCUUAUCUAUUGCACUCCAGGUGUGCCAUCUCCCCAAAUGCGAGAAACUGCAAUCAUUUAUGGUAGUGGACUGCUUUUGAGCUUUCCC
rnacentral:snRNA from 1 species